AAUCAUUUGUAAAAGGCUCGAAACUCCAGCCUACAUAGCCCUGAGUUUCAGAAACACCUCUCCCAGCUGGGCAUGCGAGCACCCAAGGAGCAGAGCAAAGCCAAGCACAGCCCACACCGCCCAACCGCUCCUCUGCACAGGGCUCCGUUUGGCUGCAAAACUGGGCAAGGCCAGCUGGGGACAGGCCCUGGUGCCAGGAGGCACCAGAAAUUUCCUGACGUUCCUCAAAGAGGGGCAGGCAGCUGAGGCCGUUGCAAGAGGAGGAGUCCCGCAAGCCUUCCCUCUAUGGGGCUGAGCGUGCUGACCCCAACCCCGCUCCCACGCCAGCGUCAGCCCCGGGGAUAACAGAGCCUAGGAUCCACUGCUCUUCCACCACAGCGAUGCUGCACCGUGCCACAAACCCCCGGGUGGAAUGGACAUCACAGCUGCCCCAGGGCUCGGCGUGCUGCAGCUCUUAGCCCACAGCAGAGACAGGGAUGGAGCUGCUCCAGCAUAGGCUCUGCUGGUCCAGCCUGCUUUUGCAGCCUGCUCUUCUCCAAAGCUGCAUCCCUGAAGAUGCUGAAGUCAGGCUGUUAUUGCAGAGGAAACCUGUGGAGAGAGACACGUGGGGUUUGAGGAUUAGCUGCUGAAACAGAUGGGAAUUUCCCGGAGCAAGGAGCUGAGGAGGGCAGGGAGGGCUCCUAUACAGCGGGGCUGCUGCCAGCCACGUGGGCUGUGUGAGGACCCCGGGAUGCCCACUGCCUCCCCACAGCGCUGCUGCUGACUCACAUCUCCGCGGGGAGCGGCACACGGCAGCUGUGCGCCCACCCCCUGCACUGCGCACCAGAGCUGGGCACCGGCAUGCUGCAGGGCUGGCAGCCCGUCCUGUUUGGGGACGGUGUCUCCGUGGGGUCCCAGAAGCACUGUCUCUCAUAGAGGCUGCUCCUUGCACACUGCUUUGUGCCCCGAUGCCGCCUGGUGCAUCUCCCACAAGCAGUUCGUGCAGCACUGGCACCGGGAGGCUGUCUGCCUGCAGGGCCCGACGGGAGCUGUGCCGUAUGCUCCGUGUCCCUCCUGCUUACUCUCUCCCUCCAGCUCUUGCACUGCACUUGCAGCAUGUGUCAUAUCCCAUUGAUGUCACCCGCCGUCCCCUGCCUCGUCCCUGCCUGCAGGGCUGCCUGUGCCAGUGGCUGCAAUAAGGGCACCCUGGGGCUCCGCAUCCCCCUGUGUUGGUCCCAGGGCAUAGGCAAUGCCAGCUGGGGGCUGAGCCCCGCAGCCAGGCCUGAACACUGCAAGCAGCGGUUCUGCACAUAGCAACAGAGAGAAUGCAGCACGAUCACAGCUCACGCUCCUUCCUGCCGCUUGGAAGUGUCUAGAGAGCUGAAAAAGCUGCAAGACGUUCUUGCUGCCAUCCUUCUCCCUGCUAGCUUCUUCAUGCUCUGGCUGUGUUUUGAGCCCCCUUUCUGGGGGGGCACAGCACUUCCCCAGACCAAUGGAUACCGAUUUGGCGUGAUGAGGGCUGCAGACAUCCCGCAGCAUGCUGCCCGCCGCGCAGGGCUGGCUGACUCAUCGCCAUGCAGCAUGCAAUUACAAAGGCAAGUGCAGGCCCCUACUGCUUUGCACAGGUAUCUGUGUCAGCCGGGGCUAUUUCCAUCUCUCCCGUGCACUCUCGGCUCAUUAGGAGGGGAAGGAACACAGCCACAGAGCUCACCUGCCUGCCACAGGACUGGGCAUAAUAUUCCAGUGAGCAGAGAGCCAGAAGGGGAAUUACAACCGAGUGACACAAUGGGGGGAGGAGGCAGCAGGGUGCAUUGCCCACACAUCCCACAUACUCACAGCUGCACACGCAGACCGAGCAGGGGUGUGGAGGUGCACCGUGGUGCAGAGCACCAUUGCCAUGAACUCAGAGGUUCCUGGCCGGAAUCCAAGCGAGGGCUGCAGCCUUCCAUCUGCAAGCACCGUUUGCUACAGGGGUUUAGCAACCGGGGCUGUCACAACUGCAGCAGCUGCAGAACCCUCGGCCAUGAGUGGGAGCAGCUCUGCCGUUGCGUCACUGCUUUGUGCAGUGUAGCACAGGGGAUGGAAUGCCCGGCUGCAGUGUGAGGCAGCGUGUGCUGAGCAAAGCAGUGCCCCAUCCUGUUCUCAUACAAGUGCACUUCUCGUGUGUACUUGUUAUUUUCUAACUAUUUGGUAAUGUUCAUUUCAUUUACUGCACGCAUAAGUGAGCAAAUAUGACAUAUACAAAUGUCGGGAAGUAAUUCAGUUUGUUAAGCUUCUUCAUUAAAAGAACUCUGUAUUAUUAAAGUAUCUACACUGUCAUGGGCUGGUAUCCCAUUAGCAACCUUAAUAAGAAAUGCUGUUUAUCCAUUCAGAAACAGAUCUCUGGGGCAUGCAUUUGGCAGCGUGCGUUGAGUCAGUGGUGGCAACCGGCAGCAUCUCUGUGUGCCUGGUCACAGGACAGCGUUUCCCACCCUGAGCUCAUGACCAGGCCAAAAACUUCACCUGC
ensembl:lncRNA